rnacentral:rRNA from 1 species
UCGGAGCUAACGCGUUAAGUAGACCGCCUGGGGAGUACGGUCGCAAGAUUAAAACUCAAAUGAAUUGACGGGGGCCCGCACAAGCGGUGGAGCAUGUGGUUUAAUUCGAUGCAACGCGAAGAACCUUACCUACUCUUGACAUCCAGAGAACUUUCCAGAGAUGGAUUGGUGCCUUCGGGAACUCUGAGACAGGUGCUGCAUGGCUGUCGUCAGCUCGUGUUGUGAAAUGUUGGGUUAAGUCCCGCAACGAGCGCAACCCUUAUCCUUGUUUGCCAGCGAGUAAUGUCGGGAACUCCAGGGAGACUGCCGGUGAUAAACCGGAGGAAGGUGGGGACGACGUCAAGUCAUCAUGGCCCUUACGAGUAGGGCUACACACGUGCUACAAUGGCGCAUACAGAGGGCGGCCAACUUGCGAAAGUGAGCGAAUCCCAAAAAGUGCGUCGUAGUCCGGAUUGGAGUCUGCAACUCGACUCCAUGAAGUCGGAAUCGCUAGUAAUCGUGGAUCAGAAUGCCACGGUGAAUACGUUCCCGGGCCUUGUACACACCGCCCGUCACACCAUGGGAGUGGGCUGCAAAAGAAGUAGGUAGUUUAAC